GCUGGGUGUGGUGAUACAUGCCUGUAAUCUCAGCUAUUAAGCAGGAUGAAGCUGAUGGAUUGCUUGAGCUCAGGACUUCUGAGGUGCAGUGGGCCAGAGUCUGUAGGAUGCCCACAAUAAGUGUAGCACAGAUAUGGUGAACCCCCAGUAGUGGGACAGGGAGUACCAGGCUGCUCAAGGUGGGGUGAACUGGUCCAAGUCAGAAAUGGAGCAGGGCAGAACUUCUAUGCAGAUCAGCACUGGGAUGGGGACAGAGGAGUGGCUACUGUAUUUACAACCGGAACUAGACAGGGAUCCAGUCUCAAA
rnacentral:SRP_RNA from 1 species